rnacentral:rRNA from 1 species
AGACCCGAAACCCGGUGAUCUAGCCAUGGGCAGGUUGAAGGUUGGGUAACACUAACUGGAGGACCGAACCGACUAAUGUUGAAAAAUUAGCGGAUGACCUGUGGCUGGGGGUGAAAGGCCAAUCAAACCGGGAGAUAGCUGGUUCUCCCCGAAAGCUAUUUAGGUAGCGCCUCGUGAAUUCAUCUCCGGGGGUAGAGCACUGUUUCGGCUAGGGGGCCAUCCCGGCUUACCAACCCGAUGCAAACUGCGAAUACCGGAGAAUGUUAUCACGGGAGACACACGGCGGGUGCUAACGUCCGUCGUGAAGAGGGAAACAACCCAGACCGCCAGCUAAGGUCCCAAAGUCAUGGUUAAGUGGGAAACGAUGUGGGAAGGCCCAGACAGCCAGGAUGUUGGCUUAGAAGCAGCCAUCAUUUAAAGAAAGCGUAAUAGCUCACUGGUCGAGUCGGCCUGCGCGGAAGAUGUAACGGGGCUAAACCAUGCACCGAAGCUGCGGCAGCGACGCUUAUGCGUUGUUGGGUAGGGGAGCGUUCUGUAAGCCUGUGAAGGUGGCCUGUGAGGGUU